GUCAACUCCCCCGCCCUGAAGGGCGGAGCUUGUGAAAGCAGGCUAGGUUGACCAGGGGGCCGGAGUGAUCCGGCAGACGUUUGCAACAGGUCGUUGAGACCCACUCCGGGAUGCUUCCUCAGUCCCGGACACUGGA
rnacentral:sRNA from 24 species